UACGUAGGGUGCAAGCGUUGUCCGGAAUUAUUGGGCGUAAAGCGUGCGUAGGCGGCUGCGCAAGUCGGUUGUGAAACCCCGGGGCUCAACCCCGGAACUGCAUCCGAUACUGCGUGGCUAGAGGUAGGUAGGGGAGAUCGGAAUUCCUGGUGUAGCGGUGAAAUGCGCAGAUAUCAGGAGGAACACCGGUGGCGAAGGCGGAUCUCUGGGCCUUACCUGACGCUCAGGCACGAAAGCUAGGGGAGCGAACAGG
rnacentral:rRNA from 1 species